rnacentral:rRNA from 1 species
UACGGGGGGGGCAAGCGUUGUUCGGAAUUACUGGGCGUAAAGGGCUCGUAGGUGGCCAACUAAGUCAGACGUGAAAUCCCUCGGCUUAACCGGGGAACUGCGUCUGAUACUGGAUGGCUUGAGUUUGGGAGAGGGAUGCGGAAUUCCAGGUGUAGCGGUGAAAUACGUAGAUAUCAGGAGGAACACCUGCGGUGUAGACAGCUCUCUGGACCGUAACUGACGCUGAGACACGAAAGCGUGGGUAGCAAACAGG